CUCCCUCUCUCCCUUUCUCCCCCUUUCUCUCUUUUUCUUUCCCUCUGUGCCAUGUGAGAACACAGCAACAACAUGGCCAUUGGCACGACAGAAAGAGAAUCCCCACCAAGAGCUGAAUCUGGUGCUUUGAUCUUGGACUUCCAGAUCGUGGGGAACAUAGAUGGAGCUGGAGGCUGUUUUUUCUUAGCAAACUAAUGCAGGAAUAGAAAAACAAAUACCACAUGUUCUCACUUACAAGCUGGAGAUGACAUGGACAUGGACACAAAGAGGGGAACAACAGACACUGGAGCCUAUUGAAGGUGGAUGAUGGAAGGAGGGAGAAGAUCAGGAAAAAUAGUA
rnacentral:lncRNA from 1 species